GGCUCAGUCUAACUAUCGAACUACAAAUUUUGCCGUUUUGUAGUUAGUAUCAUCGCUUCUUUUUGUAUUCCGUUUCAAUGUAGCAUAUUGUGUGUGUUCGAUACUUGUUGCGAGGAUUGUUAACAAGAGUGUUUGGUUCUUUCGUUAGUUCGUCCAUAAUCUUGUUUUUUCUUGUGAGGUUUCGGACAGCAAGUUCGAAUCCAAAAUCAAUAAAGUUUUCUUUGAUUCAUGUUGGUGAUAUUGUUUACAUCUAUGUGAUUAUUUGAAUCUCUACCUCGUUUUUUCUAAAACGGUUUGACGUUCACUUGGCUUCAAAUCGAAUGUGUUGGUUGUGCAGUUCUGUUCUUCUUCGCUGUUUCUUUGGGAUUUUCGAUUAUCUCUUCUGUCAUUUCGAUUUAUUAUUGCAGAUUUUCGAUAAGGUUAGCCUAAUCUCAUGAAGUAACAUAUUGAAUCUCUGUUUUGGUUUGGCUGAAAUGUUGUUCAUGUUAUAUCAAGUUUUCAACUAGCAAUUUAAGUCCGUUAUAACUUCCUGUUUAAUCUGGUUCGUAGCUGUUAAGAUUACUUACCCAUUCUAUGCCUUAACAUUUUGUAGUUUCUGAUGUUGCGCGUGAAUAUUGUUUGAUCAAUUUAUUCAUGAAAAUUUUGGGAUGAAGUUAUUAGCCAUUUUAUUUUGUUUCCAAUUUAAUGCUAGUUAUAUGAAUCCUUUUAUCACGUAGAAGUUAUCUUAUAUGUGUUUUGUUUUCAUUUGAAAUAAAAUAGAUUUUUUUUUUCUCAUAAAGCUAAUCAUCUCUCAAUACUAGUAUUUCAUGAUUGUGUCUAUUUUUGCCUAUUCUUGGAAAUUUCCUUGGUGAAGUUUAGAGGUUACAGUGACUAUAAUUUGUCUAAAUGUGGUGUUAAUUGAUAAUGAUUCCUUUAUGUGUUUGAAAUGUGUAUCUAAGUGGUUAAUGUUGCUAAGUAUCUGUCAUAUUCCUAGAAUUGGUCCCAAAGUAAUUAUAUAAAGUUAUUAGUUCUAAUGGCCAUCAGUUAUUUGUUAUUAUUAUUUUAUUUUAUUUUAUUUUUUCUUUACAAAUGAAGUUAUUACUAUUGCGACUAUUAGUGGUAAAUCAAUUGUUGGAUGUAUGUUAAUUAUGUCUGGAACAAAUAUUGUGAUGUUCUUGUCUGUCACUAGGGGUCAAGUGUGAACAUCGUUUUGCAAGUUUAAGUUUAUCCGGUUCCAAUUAAAAAUUGAUCAAAUGAGCUUGGCAACAGAUUAUGAUCUAAUAUUAAAAUAAUUGCCAUUUUUUAGAAUUAAGUCUUAUACUAAUCUUUACCCUUCUUUUCUUGCAUGAACUCCCUCGGAUGAGUCUCAUGGGCUCCCGUCUUUCCUCCCUUCUCAUUUUGAGAGGGCCAUAAAGGCCCAAAAUUCUUUUAUCGAGUCAGUCAACCUUGAGAAAUCGAAGAACAAGUCUUUGGAGUUGACGUACAGGUUUCAGAAAGCAGAAAAAUGGGUUGUAUACAUCCGAUAUACACU
rnacentral:lncRNA from 1 species